GAGAUCAUGGGAUGACAGGAGAUCCUUCCUUGGCAGGAGUCGCCGGGACCGCGGCCACAGAAACCCCAAGAUUUUUUUUUUUUUUUUGGGGGGGGGGGGCACAUGGAGCUGGCGGCUGAGCAGAGGGAAGAGCCAGAGACCGUCAGGGAGGCGAUAGAGAAGUGGUCGGUCGACCGAAGGAGAGAGCCAGAGCCUGCCUGGGAAUGGAUGGAACAAUGUGAGGAGGGAUAAUGAUGUUGGUGAGGAGUAGGCUGCAGCGCAGGCGUGCUGAAGAGCAUGUCAUCAGUCCGGUGCCAUUUGUGCUGGCUCCACGCACCAGGCCACCAGUGCGCCUCCCCAGCCCAUUAUGUCCUAUGCCGGUUCCUCGCACUCGCCCUGAAGAGCGGGUCAUCAGUCCAGUGCCAUCUGUGCCAGCUCUCCGCACUCGUCCUGAAGAGCCAGAGACCGUCAGGGAGGCGAUGGAGAAGUUGGGAGAGAGAGAGAUGAGAGAGAUGUUGUGCAGGUGUGUUUUGCAUAACAUUCGACCUGAAGAUCCUGUCAGCAGUCUGGUGAAGUCUGUGCCGGCUCCACGCACCAGGCCUCCAGUGUGCCUCCCCAGUCUGGUACAUCCUGUGCCAGCUCCCCGCACUCACCCUGAAGUGCGUGUCACCAGUCCGGUACAACCUGUGCCGGCUCCAUGCAUCAGGCCUCCAGUGCGCCUCCCCAGUCCCGUACGUCCUGUGCCGGUCAACGGCCCGGAGCUUCCAGUGACGGUCAAUGGUCCGGAGAGUCCAGGCACGGUGUCCAGUCCCACUCCAUGGCAGGAGCUUUCCUCUGUGCCGGUGCCCUGUCCAGGCACGGCGUCCAAUACCGCUCCAUGGCCAGAGCCUUCCUCUGCGCCGGUGCCCAGUCCAGGCACGGCACCCAGUACCGCUCCAUGGCCAGAGCCUUCCUCUGCGCCGGUGCCCAGUCCAGGCACAGCGUUCAGCCCAGCGCCAUGGCUGGAUCCGGGGUCUGGGUGGGGGUGGCAACCCACACCGGCGCCGCCACCGACAGUAGUCAC
rnacentral:lncRNA from 8 species